UACGUAGGGUGCAAGCGUUGUCCGGAAUUAUUGGGCGUAAAGGGCUCGUAGGCGGUUUGUCGCGUCGGGAGUGAAAACUCAGGGCUUAACCCUGAGCCUGCUUCCGAUACGGGCAGACUAGAGGUAUGCAGGGGAGAACGGAAUUCCUGGUGUAGCGGUGAAAUGCGCAGAUAUCAGGAGGAACACCGGUGGCGAAGGCGGUUCUCUGGGCAUUACCUGGCGCUGAGGAGCGAAAGUGUGGGGAGCGAACAGG
rnacentral:rRNA from 1 species